AAAAAACAGGUAACAGCUUUUGAUCGUGCAAUUAAGAAGGUUAGGAAUAAAUCAAAGUUGAGGUUGAUGGAUGUCACUGAACCCUUUGGUUAUCGCCAUGAUGGGCAUCCAGGUCCGUAUCGGAGUCCUGACCCAAAUAAAAUCACGAAACGUGGACCAGAUGGAAGGCCCCCUCCACAGGAUUGCUUGCACUGGUGCAUGCCUGGUCCUGUUGAUACAUGGAAUGAAUUUGUGCUUGAAAUUAUAAGAAGAGAAUUUGAGGGCAAUCGAAGCUCUUCGUCGUGAGAUUGUUGCUUUUCUGUUGCCAAACAGCUUGUGCUUCAUACUGGAAAGAUAAUUUGUUCAGUGAGAUUCAAUUUAUUGUAGGAUCAGGGUUAGCCUAGUCUUAGGGAAAUAUGGAUGCAAUGUAUCUGGGAUUGAUCAGGAUAUGGUGUAUAAGGCCUCCAUGUUUGUUCAUCCGUCCGGAUGAGAGUAAUAUUUACUUGUAGAGAAAAUUGAGAGCUAUUUGUUGAAGAGGAUUGCUACAUGAAAAUUAAUAAAUUACAAGAUUACUUUUGAGGAAAACUCAAAAGUAAUCUUGUAA
rnacentral:misc_RNA from 1 species